rnacentral:lncRNA from 1 species
GGGUUGUACUUUCCCAUUUGUUGCCUCUGCCGAUCUUGCAAUGUUUCCUUUGUCAACCAUCGAUCCUAUUUUAUUUAGCUUUGGGUCAUUGGAAAAGUGCCUUGACCUCCAUUGCAUGACUUUAGUUUCAGCUUGCACAAGUAAGUUUCCUUCUUGACUUCCCCUUUGCUCUCUAUUGACUUUUGGGGCUCGUUGUAUUUGCACUAAUUGCUUGAUCUUCAUCCUUUUCAGUCGUGUUCUCCAGUGGAUGGGUUGUUGUCUUGAUUUUUGUGGGUUGUUGUCUUGAUUUUUGUGGGUUGUUGUCUUGAUUUUUGUAAUGUUUCAUGGGAUCUAGUCAUAGGAACAAUGUUACCUAUUCUAAGUAAGUAACCUUCUUCAAACCUCUCUAUAAGAUGUCAAAGCUUUGAUGUACUAUAACUGAUAUUCUCUUUAUUCUGCAGACAUGGAUCGUAGGGAGAUAAUAGGAUGCUCAAAACUAGGAUUGUUUGGAAAGUACUUUGUUCCUCUGGUUCUUGAAGCUCAACCAAACCAUUAGAUCUCCUUUUUUGCUGAAAGUCAUUUUUUGUUGGCUGUUGUAGAUUAGGCUAAAUAGCUGAUUCACUAUUUUUGUUAUCAUAUUGAUAUGUAAAUAUAACAUCUUGUGAAAAACUUAGCUAAGCCUUCCCAGCCCCUUCACUCCUUUGAUGGUGACAAUCUCAGGUAAGGGCAUUGUAUUUUAUCACUAUCAACAAUUCUCUUUCCUGUAACAUAUAUCUGCUAAACUGUUGUAAAUAUGAAAUCUCUAUUAUCCAGGGCCUGAUUAGCG